rnacentral:misc_RNA from 1 species
UACCUGACAAAUUAAGUCAACUAAUUACUUGCUAUGCGUUUUCUACAAACUAGUGGUUUUUAUCUUUUCAUACGGAAAUUGCUUCACAAAGAAGGCCACAAAUGAUGAAAUCCCAUCCAUGAAUUCACUUCAGGCUCUAUGGGUAUCUCAUUUUCAGGUUCUAACAAUGGUUCAGCUGCAUCAUCUGAUAAAUUUUGAUGGUUUCCAUCCCUGGUUGUCUCCAGGCCAAGUUCAUUUUCCAAGUAUUGUAGCCACUUCCUAUUUUCAGCUUGUCCAUUAACGUAUUCAACUCCAAGACUUGAGCUGUGGCCAGUCUCAACAUUACGUAAUUGGACUUCUUCAUUAGUUUGCAGGGAAUUUAAGCCAUCUAACAUGUUCCAAAAAUCCAGAUCUGACUCGAAAGGUAUCUCAAUUGCUGCAAUAUCUUGGAUCUCUGGUUUGUUCACCUCCUUUAAUGGAACAUCAUAAUUAGGUCCUGAAAAGUUGAAAAGCGAACCCAUUUGAUCAUCAUCUGGCUUAGAAACAUCAACUUGACUACUGUUGAUUGUGACAUUGGAAUUAUGGGAAGAAGAAGAGGAACUUGACAAUUCUUUGGCUUCCUUAUUAAUCGGUCUAAGUUCCUGUAAAUCGUCCAAGACACGAGGCCUCUUGGUCAUAGAGCUAUGCUUCCAUUGAUGAUCAAGUUCUAUAAUUGCCAUAUUUCUUUUCCCACUUGAAAUGAUUGUGCUGGAAGAAGAAUAUGAAGAGGACGAGGAGGUAGAAGAUGAUUCCUUUGAUUCUUCCCCGUUAGAGUCUGCAGGUUCUUUAUUGAAUGGCAACCUUUUCUUCAAAUGAGUGUUCCAGACAUUCUUGAUCUCAUUAUCGGUUCUACCCGGCAAAUGGGAUGCAAUUUUAGACCACUUGUUCCCCAAAGUUUGGUGCAUUUUUAUUAUGGUGUCCUCUUCUUCUUUGGUGAAGUUCCCUCUCUUUACGUCAGGUCUUAGGUAAUUAAUCCAUCUCAAACGACAACUUUUCCCGCAUCUUAACAACCCUGCUUGUUUAGGAAGAGCUCUCCAGUUUUCAUGUCCAUGCUUCUGAAUGAAAGUGACGAGCCUCAAGUCCUCUGCAGGACUCCAUGGACCCUUCUUUACUUGACUCUUAUCACAGCAGGGUGCUCUUCCUUUGCCCAUCUCUCUCAACACUGAUAUCUAUCUAUGAGUGUGAUAUAUAUCAGGAUUCAAUUUUAUAUAUAGACUCUUUUAUCAUCC